rnacentral:rRNA from 1 species
CUACGUAGCUCAGAGUUUGAUCCUGGCUCAGGAUGAACGCUAGCGGCGUGCCUAACACAUGCAAGUCGAAGGGGUACCCGAAACGGAGACUUCGGUUGAAGUUUUGGACUACCUAGUGGCGGACGGGUGAGUAACGCGUGAGCAAUCUGCCUCACAGAGGGGGAUAACACAGAGAAAUUUGUGCUAAUACCGCAUAAUGUAGUGAAGAGACAUCUUUUUGCUACCAAAGAUUUAUCGCUGUGAGAUGAGCUCGCGUCUGAUUAGCUAGUUGGUGGGGUAACGGCCUACCAAGGCGACGAUCAGUAGCCGGACUGAGAGGUUGAACGGCCACAUUGGGACUGAGACACGGCCCAG